AGCUAUUUAUGAUUGGAUGGCAUUAAGACAUUUUUAGUCUUCCUUAUAUAUGCUAGGUACUCAGUUGUUCCCAUAGUGUCUCAUUAGCCUGAUUUAUAAUCAAAUAUUAACUUUAAAAUUAAGAUUUAUAACAAGGUAUUUCAAUGUACAGUAGCUGUUAAUUGAGCCAAAUGUUUUGUAAUUCACCAGACUAAUAUGUGACAAAUGAUAUGCAAACAGGGAAAAUAUAGCCUUUAAUAAUCCCCAUGUAAGUGUCUUUAUAGUAUUAAGAUCCUAAAACAACAAAAAGACUUUUAUAAAAUCUCCGAAAGAAUCCCAGGACCACAGCCAAGGAUCUUCAGAAAUGUCUUAAUUAGCCAAAUUCAUUCCUUAGUACCAUUACACCUGCUUAAUAGCUGUGGCUUUCUUGGAGUGUACCAUGAGAAAAUAUACAUUUGUUCCUUCUUUUUUCACUGGUCAGACAUGGCUACAUGACUUAUAGUACCAUGAUUCAGUAUAGCUUUUACGCUGCUAGCCAGAGUACACCUGAUUGCUUCCACACGCAGUACUCUUUAGGAUCAGAGCAAAGAUAGAAUGGCAGAUAUACUUCUUUUCAGUUUUCACAGUCCAUUUCUCCCAAAAUAUUAUCCUGUUCUACACAAUAGGAUCAGUCAAAAACCGAAAAUGAGAGAGCAUUGUGUAACACUGGCUUUACACGUUAUAAAGUACAAUACAACUAAAAAUGAUUUCUCCUCAGGAAUGAUUGUACAAUUUUAUAUAAUUUCCAUAUGGGCCAUCUUUAGAAAGAACUAGCAGAAAAUAAUACAUUUGCCUUGCAGCUGUAAUUAGAAACUCUAAAAACAAAUGCGCAUUAUAUAAAAAUAAAGGUGUUAAGAUUAUCCAAAUUCCUGCUAUGGCAUAUGUACAUGUAAUAAAGGUAGCUUUUGACUCCAAGCACUCAUCAGUAACAGGCUAACAGUAGAAACA